AUUAGCAUCCCCUAAUAAUUUACAGUCCAAAUUAAGCGGUUUAAAUUACGAUUUCCAUCAGCUGAGAGCCCGGAAGCUGCUUUUAAUAUUUUUAUUAGAAACCAACUUGAAGCGGAAUGUUUAAAUAAAAGUUAUUUUUCGUAACCAGAGUGCACCGCGGAUUUAUUAAACAUAAUAGGGUGCGAAGAACAUCAAAUCCGCCUAAAUAAAUUUAUUAAACCUUCGGAAACAAAAAGCCUUUCAACUGGAAUUCCAGAAGGCGGUCGUCAAUUAUUCUUCGUUAGUGAAACAUAUCGAAUUCAUUCUUGAACAAAUUGAUAUAAAGCAAAAUUUACGACUCGAUGGUCUGCCUACUAUGGAAGUGAAAUUGCCUGUGCCUGUGUAGCCAAAAUAUCACCUGGUAGAUAGUGCGGCGAUAUAAAAUAUUGUCCGGAUGUGAAAUAUUGACGAGAAUGUUGGUAUAGUACAUUUACGAAUGCCACAAUCAGAGGCCCCCCAAUGCUUCGCGACGUUAACAUAACAUUUCAACGCCCCUAGCACAAGGCCGAUUUCAUAAUUUCGCCGAGUAUAUGUCUAGACGAAGAGCGAAUGUUUGGAUCGAAUUCUGAUGGAAGAGAUGCACGAGUGACGCCCAAUAGGAAUAUUAGGCCAAGAAAACUAUUUGAAUGGAAACGUGUUUUUCUUCUCUUAUUCCAUGGUUUUCGGAAAUCUUUCCAUAAAAGCUUCCAGAAUUCCAUUUAAAUCAUUUAUUCGUUGAAUGGGCAGAUAUGCUGCGACAAAUGUCAAUUUUGCUUAUGCACAUUGAAUACGAGGCCGACUUCUGUUUGCUACUUCAUCCAGUUGAAUAAAAGCUUAAUUUGCAUUUA